AAGAUGGUGAGGGGGUUGAGGGGCGUUCUGGACGGGGCUGUGAGGACCCCUUGGGGCCCGUUCCACA
rnacentral:pre_miRNA from 1 species